UCUGCUCUCAUCGUCUUCUUCCUUGAGAGGCGAUUUGUUGAUUUACUCCCGACGAAAUCAAGUUCAAGAGAAGAAUCAAUCAAUCUCUUGCGAGGAGAGAUCCACAAUCUCUAGAUAAGUUCUCUUCGCUUAUUUUAUUUGAGGAUUUCUGGAUCUUUCUUUCUUUGCCUUUUUGAUUUUCCCGUCUUAGGGUUUUCAAAUUUCGAUUGUAUUGACUCUGUUUUGUUCUUUUCAUCCUUUAGCGACGAUCAAUCACUUCCCAGUUCCCAUGAAAUCACCAUCUCUAGGGUUUUAGGGUUUUUAUUUCUCCGUGUUUCAUUCGGGGGAUGAAGUCGAUCAAGCCUUUGCCCGAGGGUGUUCAUCACCCCAAGCGUUCUGGAAUUAUCAUGUUUUGACAUGACGCGGGUCGUGGAGGAACCCGUGAUUCAACAGUCUCGAUGCUGGUGCGACCAAGGUCCAAUCAAAUUCUCCCCUUCGACCAACAGGUUUCUAUCUUCGUGGGUGUUGUUUCGUGCUCUGUCAAGGUUGUGGAUGAUGGAUCAGGCGUUUCCAGAGAUGAUUUGGUUUUGUUGGGAAAAAGAUACACCACUUCAAAGUUUCAUGUUUUGGAGUCAGCCAGUGAAAAUUUUGGAUUCCGUGGAGGGGCGUUAGCAUUAGCUUCGAUAUCAGAUACUCUCGUUACUGGAAAUCAGGACAAAAGCUAUUGGGAAGCCUAAUGGUUAUCCAAAGAAGUAUGACAUCCAUGGAGCAUGCGUGAUCACGCUUACAUUUGAACUGAGGUAUGUGAAUUUCUUGAUAUUCUACGUCUGAAAAUCAGGUAUGUGAAUUUCUAUUUCUUAAGGUUAAUAUUUUCUGUUGUUUAUAAAAUUCUUUACCUUGUGUACCCAUUCUCGACAAGUAGCAAACAAACUUACAUAGGUCUUCUAACAUCGCCUUUUUAUCUUUCUUCGCAUGCAGUUGUUCUCGGGUUUCUGAAGAUCGUCAUAAGAGUUUCAGGUUAUUCUUUAGCUCCCUUUGCAGUUUGCAUGCAGUUCUCGGGGUUUUUGUCUGUUUUCUUCAAGUGUAGACGUGUUAGGGUUUUUGUCUGUUUUCUUCAAGUGUAGCCGUGUUACCAUGUAGAUGACUAGGUGACAGGAAUUUUAUUUUUGAAGAUCGUAUAGCUGGUUGGGGUUGUCAUUUCUAUUUUGAUUAAUUUAUAUACGAUGUUUACAUUGUUGAAAGAGCAAACUAUUUUUUC